UCGUACGGUUAAAAUUUAACAUUUGUAUAAAUUGAUGAUUGGUAUUAUGCAUAUAUUCUAUUGUUGGAAAUGAAUUAUUGUUUGAAUUAUAAUAUUGAAUUGGAUAUUCAGUUUGAAUUGAACGCGGGAUUUGAGUACAUUCGUGAUUUGGUGUAUGACAGGGGUUUGGAAUAGAGAUGGUAUUGGAGGGAUAUAUCGGUAAUUUACCCAAGUAAAUCAAGGUUCAGCAUUUGUUGUGAACUCUCAUGUUUUACUUUCUGUUUGGGGUGAUUAGGUGGAUCAGCUCUUACGAGCUUCUAUUCAGCUUUUGAGCUUCUGUUGGCGUAUUCGAGAGGACCAGAUCUUAUUAGUUUUUGUUGACGAUGUACUCUUACCCAUUUUCUAAAGGUUGGACGAUCAGAUCGGCACUCAAGUUACGCUAUCCAGUUUACUUCGAUAGUUUUUUGAAACGUUAAAUUUGGAUUAUAUGGCAUGUAUAGGCUCUUGUGCUAUUUUGGUUAAUGUUUGGCUUAUGUAAAUGUUAUGAAUGAUAUUUUGUGCAAAUAACCAAUUUGCAAAGGGUAUGAGAAUGAGGUAUAGUUGUUAUGCUA